rnacentral:rRNA from 1 species
UACGGGAGGCAGCAGUGGGGAAUAUUGCACAAUGGGCGCAAGCCUGAUGCAGCCAUGCCGCGUGUAUGAAGAAGGCCUUCGGGUUGUAAAGUACUUUCAGUCGUGAGGAAGGUGUUAAGGUUAAUAACCUUAGCAAUUGACGUUAGCGACAGAAGAAGCACCGGCUAACUCCGUGCCAGCAGCCGCGGUAAUACGGAGGGUGCGAGCGUUAAUCGGAAUUACUGGGCGUAAAGGGCACGCAGGCGGUUAAUUAAGUUGGAUGUGAAAUCCCCGGGCUUAACCUGGGAAUGGCAUUCAAGACUGGUUAGCUAGAGUCUUGUAGGAGGGGGUAGAAUUCCAUGUGUAGCGGUGAAAUGCGUAGAGAUGUGGAGGAAUACCGGUGGCGAAGGCGGCCCCUGGACAAAGACUGACGCUCAUGUGCGAAAGCGUGGGGAGCGAAACAGGGAUUAGAUA